rnacentral:rRNA from 1 species
UACGGGGGGGCAAGCGUUGUUCGGAAUUACUGGGCGUAAAGGGCGCGUAGGCGGAUGGCACAGUCAGAUGUGAAAUUCCCGGGCUUAACCUGGGGGCUGCAUUUGAUACGUGUUGUCUAGAGUGAGGAAGAGGGUCGUGGAAUUCCCAGUGUAGCGGUGAAAUGCGCAGAUAUCGGGAGGAACACCAAUUGCGAAGGCAGCUCGCUGGGACGUCACUGACGCUGAGACGCGAAAGCGUGGGGAGCAAACAGGG